UCGGGAAUUUUGGGCAAUGGGCGAAAGCCUGACCCAGCAACGCCGCGUGAAGGAUGAAGUAUUUCGGUAUGUAAACUUCGAAAGAAUAGGAAGAAUAAAUGACGGUACUAUUUAUAAGGUCCGGCUAACUACGUGCCAGCAGCCGCGGUAAUACGUAGGGACCAAGCGUUGUUCGGAUUUACUGGGCGUAAAGCGCACGUAGGCGGAUUUGUUAGUCAGGGGUGAAAUCCCGGGGGCUCAACCUCGGAACUGCCUUUGAUACUGCAAGUCUCGAGUCCGAUAGAGGUGAGUGGAAUUCCUAGUGUAGAGGUGAAAUUCGUAGAUAUUAGGAAGAACACCAGUGGCGAAGGCGGCUCACUGGAUCGGUACUGACGCUGAGGUGCGAAAGCGUGGGGAGCAAACAGGAUUAGAUACCCGAGUAGUCCCUGAGCGGGCUGGCAAGGCGCAU
rnacentral:rRNA from 1 species